GGACAACCUGCCCUGAGGACUGGAAUAAUCCCGGGAAACUGGGGGUAAUUCCAGAUAUGUCAGAACUCCUGGAAUGGGUUCUGGCAGAAAGGCUCCGGCGCCUCAGGAUGGGUCUGCGGCCUAUCAGGGUAGUAGUGGGUGUAACGUACCCACUAGCCUACGACGGGUACGGGUUGUGAGAGCAAGAGCCCGGAGAUGGAUUCUGAGACAUGAAUCCAGGCCCUACGGGGUGCAGCAGGCGCGAAAACUUUACAAUGCGGGCAACCGCGAUAAGGGGACCUCGAGUGCUGGGUUACAAACCUGGCUGUUGGGCUGCCUAAAAAGCAGUCUAUAGCAAGGGCCGGGCAAGACCGGUGCCAGCCGCCGCGGUAACACCGGCGGCUCGAGUGGUAACCGCUGUUAUUGGGUCUAAAGGGUCUGUAGCCGGCCGACUAAGUCUCUUGGGAAAUCUGGCAUCUCAAGUGUCAGGCUGCCAGGGGAUACUGGUCGGCUUGGGACCGGGAGAGGUGAGAGGUACCUCGGGGGUAGGGGUGAAAUCUUGUAAUCCUCGAGGGACCACCAGUGGCGAAGGCGUCUCACCAGAACGGAUCCGACGGCAAGGGACGAAAGCUAGGGGCACGAACCGGAUUAGAUACCCGGGUAGUCCUAGCCGUAAACGAUACUCGCUAGGUGUCGGCCACGGUGCGACCGUGGUCGGUGCCGUAGGGAAGCCGUGAAGCGAGCCACCUGGGAAGUACGGCCGCAAGGCUGAAACUUAA
rnacentral:rRNA from 1 species